rnacentral:sRNA from 1 species
UGUAAGAACCUAGCGCUGCUCGACCUCCCCUCCCGCCCCCCGUCAGCCAGGUCUCUGUGGCUUUUGCUUGUCUCCCUCCUGUCGUGCCUUCACCUCCGUCCUCCGUGUUUGUUGUCCCCCUUCAGGCACGGUAGCUAACGACACGGGUUCUCUGAGGUCCCGGCAGCUUGGACAUCCUCCCAGUCUCUGACUCCUUUCCGUUUUCUCCUCUCCCUCCUCUCCUGCGUUCUUUCUCUCCUCUUCUCUCUCUUACCCCGUUCUGUCUUCCUUCUCCAUUUCUCCCACCAUCCUGCGGCACUCCCCCAAGUCCUCCUGAGCUCGUGAACCUUCCUCUUAAGCUGGUGCCUCUAGGGGGCCCCUCCAUUCCUGCCUUCUCACUCUGCCUCCUGCUUCUCACCACCUUCGGUGUUGCCUGAAGAUUUGCUGAAAGUAGUUCUUGGGGCCCUGCCAGGCACCUGGCUCAGAGCCCAGCAGAGAUGCCAAAGCUUUAGGGCUUCACAUUGCAGGCUGGCACAGGUUUGCUGCCCUGCUGCGUGGCAGGGCUGUCCAGAGGCACCCAGGGAUUUAAAGGCAGCCCUUCCUGCACCUUUUCCAUCGUCCUAGAGGAAACUCUCAGCUGCCUCCUCUUGCCUUCCUCUUCCUGGGCUCCAGUCCCAGUCUGCUCCAAGGCGGGGCAUAUGAUACCAGCCAGUUGGGUUUCUGGGUGUUGUGCGGCCCUGCCCCUCUUUGCCCGGCACCUUGGCCGGCUCCUUCUGCCAGGUGUCGUUAAUUGCUCUGCCUUCGUCAUCGUCACAGGGCCUUCAAGGAGAGCGAGGCCUCACGGGCCUGACUGGAGACAAGGGGGAGCCGGGUCCUCCAGGGCAACCAGGUUACCCAGGUGCCACGGGCCCCCCAGGACUGCCUGGCAUCAAGGGGGAGCGUGGCUACACCGGGUCAGCGGGAGAGAAAGGAGAGCCGGGCCCCCCAGGAUCUGAAGGCCUCCCAGGCCCCCCAGGCCCAGCGGGUCCCAGAGGAGAGCGAGGACCCCAAGGUAACUCCGGUGAGAAGGGCGAUCAGGGAUUUCAAGGCCAGCCAGGCUUUCCGGGCCCACCGGGUCCCCCUGGAUUCCCAGGCAAAGUUGGAGCACCUGGUCCACCUGGCCCUCAAGCAGAGAAGGGCAGCGAAGGGAUUCGAGGCCCAUCAGGCCUGCCUGGUUCCCCUGGGCCACCGGGACCUCCUGGGAUUCAGGGCCCCGCCGGUCUGGAUGGUUUGGAUGGGAAGGAUGGCAAGCCUGGCUUGAGGGGGGACCCUGGUCCUGCUGGCCCCCCUGGACUCAUGGGACCACCGGGCUUUAAGGGAAAAACAGGACAUCCUGGCCUCCCAGGACCUAAGGGUGACUGUGGCAAACCAGGUCCCCCUGGCAGCACUGGCCGGCCUGGCGCAGAGGGUGAACCUGGUGCCAUGGGACCCCAGGGAAGACCCGGUCCCCCCGGCCACGUUGGGCCACCAGGGCCUCCAGGCCAGCCAGGACCAGCUGGGAUCUCUGCAGUGGGUCUGAAAGGAGACCGAGGAGCCACAGGAGAAAGGGGCCUUGCAGGCCUCCCAGGCCAGCCCGGCCCCCCUGGACACCCUGGCCCCCCGGGCGAACCUGGUACGGAUGGUGCAGCUGGCAAAGAGGGACCCCCUGGAAAGCAGGGAUUCUAUGGACCUCCUGGUCCCAAGGUGAGUGGGCACUGGCUGGGCUUGAGAGGAGAAGCUCACAAGUGGAUGAAGCCCAGCUGCAAGUUAUAGCUUUAGCCACAGAGAGGAGACACAGGAAGGCCAGUGGGCAGGGGAAAAAAAUGCAGAACUUGGAGCAGGAUAGUGUCUGAAAAUUUCUCACAUGGGGUCAUUAGCUGUGGUUGGGGGGAAGGAAAUCUCCAGUUCAUUUACUCACUGAUUGACUGAUUGAUUCAUUCAUUGUUUCCAUUUCCCGAGCACUCCCUUGCUCCUGCUCACACUCCAGGCCCUUGUCCUGGCCUCAGGGUGAUCCAGGAGCUGCAGGACAGAAGGGCCAGGCAGGAGAGAAGGGGAGAGCCGGCAUGCCUGGUGGACCUGGCAAGAGUGGUUCCAUGGGGCCUGUUGGGCCACCGGGCCCUGCAGGAGAGAGAGGCCACCCUGGAGCUCCAGGGCCUUCGGGGAGCCCUGGCUUGCCUGGUGUGCCUGGCUCCAUGGGAGACAUGGUGAAUUAUGAUGAAAUCAAGAGGUUCAUCAGACAAGAGAUCAUUAAAAUGUUUGAUGAGAGAAUGGCUUACUACACCUCCAGGAUGCAGUUCCCCAUGGAGAUGGCGGCAGCUCCGGGACGACCAGGGCCUCCAGGGAAGGAUGGUGCUCCGGGCAGGCCAGGCGCUCCAGGGUCACCUGGGCUCCCUGGUCAGAUUGGCAGAGAAGGACGGCAGGGCUUGCCAGGAGUGAGAGGACUGCCUGGUACCAAAGGUGAAAAGGGGGACAUUGGUAUUGGCAUUGCAGGAGAAAAUGGUCUUCCCGGCCCCCCAGGUCCUCAAGGUCCUCCAGGCUAUGGCAAGAUGGGUGCAACAGGACCAAUGGGCCAGCAAGGCAUCCCCGGCAUCCCUGGGCCCCCGGGUCCCAUGGGCCAGCCAGGCAAGGCUGGCCACUGUAACCCCUCUGACUGCUUUGGGGCCAUGCCGAUGGAGCAGCAGUACCCACCCAUGAAAACCAUGAAGGGGCCUUUUGGCUGAAAUUCCCCACCUGCCUUUGGAUGAAGGACUCCGUCGGGAAUAAAUGGCCAAAGCUUAUAGGACUCUGUGACAGGUUGUGAAUGUUUUUGUUGUUGUUGUUGUUUUUAAUUGCUGUUAAUAUUUUUUAAAUAAUAAAG